rnacentral:rRNA from 1 species
UGGGGAAUAUUGGACAAUGGGGGCAACCCUGAUCCAGCCAUGCCGCGUGAGUGAUGAAGGCCUUCGGGUUGUAAAGCUCUUUUGGCGGGGACGAUGAUGACGGUACCCGCAGAAUAAGCCCCAGCUAACUUCGUGCCAGCAGCCGCGGUAAGACGAAGGGGGCAAGCGUUGUUCGGAAUUACUGGGCGUAAAGGGCGCGUAGGCGGUUUGCUUAGUCAGGCGUGAAAGCCCUGGGCUUAACCUGGGAUGUGCGCUUGAUACUGGCAGGCUUGAGUGUGGGAGAGGUUGGUGGAAUUCCCAGUGUAGAGGUGAAAUUCGUAGAUAUUGGGAAGAACACCGGUGGCGAAGGCGGCCAACUGGACCACAACUGACGCUGAGGCGCGAAAGCGUGGGGAGCAAACA